UACGUAGGGUGCGAGCGUUGUCCGGAAUUAUUGGGCGUAAAGGGCUCGUAGGCGGUUUGUCGCGUCGGGAGUGAAAUCCACUGGCUUAACUGGUGGCUUGCUUUCGAUACGGGCAGACUGGAGGUAUGCAGGGGGAGAACGGAAUUCCUGGUGUAGCGGUGAAAUGCGCAGAUAUCAGGAGGAACACCGGUGGCGAAGGCGGUUCUCUGGGCAUGUCCUGACGCUGAGGAGCGAAAAGCGUGGGGGAGCAAACAGG
rnacentral:rRNA from 1 species